UUCACCUUCUCUUUGAUCUGUUCCAUGUAAGCUCUUCUUGGGCUUACCCUUACUCUCUUUUCUUGUAACUUUCUUUCUAUGAAGUUUUUAAUAAAUUCGUCGUGUCUUAUUAAGUGUCCAAUCAUCCCCCCCAAACCCCAAUAUUGGACACUUAAAAAGAUUGUCUCAUGCUUACUAAUGAAUAGAAUAUUUUAUUUAUAGAGUAUAGAGUAGUGGUUAAUAGUAGAUAUAAUUUAGGACAUUUAAGUCACAGGAUUAUUUUUUUUGCUGAGUUUUUGUCCAGGUCGUAUAAUAAAUGUUAUUUAAGUUACGUUAUUGGUAUUGUCACAGAAAAAGAUUAAUCUGUGUAUUUCAUUGCAGUAGAAAGUGAUGAGCUUGUAAUAAACUAAUAAACAAACCAAACUUUUA